CAGAUAAGUGACGCCUCUCGUGUUGGCACAAAUUGCACAAUGAAAAUUUUGUGUGCUUGAUUUGCCUCAUGCCUCAAAGCACAACUUAAUACUCAAAGGAUACGUGUUUGGCCAUAUGUUUGGAAUUAGGGUAAAGCAUGUUUUACAUGUUCUCGCAACGCAAUCGUCGACUUGGGGGAUGCAGCAAUAAUGAUUUCUACAGAUACGGGUUACGUUUCAAAGAAAGCCAUCGACAGAAUGGUUUUUCUUUCACUUAAUACAAAUUAAUACCGAAGGACCAGCUGGAAUUACCCAAUACAAGUUUUUUUUUU